CUUGGCCUGUGAGACAAGCAGGUGGGAAAACAUUGAAACUGAGCCAUCAUCCGGUGGUGUGGACCCCCAAGAACAAAGCUGAAGCUCAGUUAUCAGGGCUCUGAAGGCCGGAAGAUGCUGGAAAUCGAUGGGGAGAACAGACAGAAAGCCUGCUCUGAAAAUACUGUCCACGAGGGCAUCCAACUCCCCUUUCCUUCCAGGGACCCCAGUGGGGCUGAAGUUUUCUACUCUGGGACUAGGGACGUGUUUCCUGCCAACUCCCACUAACCCUGAUGCCAGGAUCUCAGUGCGGGUCGAGUGUCCCUUCAUGUGUCCAGUCUUGGUUUCUGCUGCAAGAUGUUAGGAGGGGAAGCUUUAUCCACCUGUUGUGUUUAGCAGUGGGCCUUUGGGAAGUGCUUAGGAUGAUGGCUUUGAAAGAAGAGCAGGAAAGAAGAGCAGGAAAGACGGGAUACACAGGAGACUCAACAGGGACCCCUUACAGAAGCUGAGCCCAGAAGAGCCUCGUGCCUUGAACCUAACCCACCUGGUGUUUACAUCGUUGUCUUUGUCCACUGGCCUGUAAGAUCCUGGAGAAGCGGAGAGGAAGAAAAGGGCAGAUUUACCCUCCGGAAGAACUCGUUGUGGACCAGCCUCAGCAGUCCAACAGAGAUCUCAGUCCCCUUUGCCAGCUGUCCAAGGCGGCACCUCACUACCUGGCAGCGGCUGUUACUCCCGUUCUGUCAGAAGAGAGGCAGAUCAGGACGCUGGAGUGGAGAGCUCCCCUCCCAUCUCCACUUCCCACGACCUUUCACCAGACACCAAUCUCUGCUUGCAUUCCUGUCCCAGCCACCUUCCGGGGCCUCCUACCAGUCGGUCUGUGUGCCGAAGUUCCUCUGGGUGCACAGGGGGCCCUGGGGGCUCAGUCAGGUUCUGCACCGUGCAGCUUGCCUAAAGAAAGAUCCAGCUUGAACGACCCUCUAUGGACAACCCCUUCCCUUCCUCCCAAGCCACCUGGAAAAGAAUGGUGGGUCCCAGGAGGAGGCGGCACUCCGCCAGCGGUGGGCGGGCAGACAGGAGUCCACCGGUUCAAGACGGCAGCGCCCUGGCCCAGACUCACGUUGCUACUGAUGACCUGAGAUAACGACAGGAAGUAAUCGCCCCGUGGGCUACCGCGGGAAGGAGGGCUGAGAUGAUGAGGCCACUGACCACGUGACAGCCAAGGUUCUGAACCUGGGAGAAGAAUUUACAUUGGAAGGAGGCGAGAGACAGAGGACCUGCUUCAUCCGUUCCCCUUCAGCCACGAUUCUUCUCGUCCUUCCCCCACACAGCUAUUGCCCCUCUCCCAGCCCCACCCCUAGCGUGCCAAGACCGCUCCCCACCACCAGCUUCUCACCCUGAGAGUGGUUUUGAAUUCGGGGCCAGGACCCGCUGGGAGCGUCCUGUAAGGGUGAACCUCGUAUCGAUGCAGAGUGGACUCGCUGUGGAGACACCAAGUCAUGGCCGUGAGGAUGACACAGGGCACAUGAUUGCCAUACAGACAUGGAUUCCGGGAAGGGUUGCUGACACCAGCAGUUUCUGCCGGCCGCCGUGAACCACAAAUGGAGACUUCCUAGAACGGGACAUAAAGGAAAGACUGAGAGUUCACUGGGAGAGCAGCCCUGGGACCCCAGACCAUGCAUGGCACUGCUAACCAGUAUUUGGACAGAGGUGGACGAUCCCUCAUCCAG